AUUGAACGCUGGCGGCAUGCCUUACACAUGCAAGUCGAACGGCAGCGGGGGAGAAGCUUGCUUUUCCUGCCGGCGAGUGGCGAACGGGUGAGUAAUACAUCGGAACGUGCCCUGUAGUGGGGGAUAACUAGUCGAAAGAUUAGCUAAUACCGCAUACGACCUGAGGGUGAAAGUGGGAGACCGCAAGGCCUCAUGCUAUAGGAGCGGCCGAUGUCUGAUUAGCUAGUUGGUGGGGUAAAGGCCUACCAAGGCGACGAUCAGUAGCUGGUCUGGGAGGACGAUCAGCCACCCUGGGACUGAGAGACGGCCCAGACUCCUACGGGGGGCAGGAGUGGGGAAUUUUGGACAAUGGGCGAAAGCCUGAUCCAGCAAUGCCGCGUGUGUGAAGAAGGCCUUCGGGUUGUAAAGCACUUUUGUCCGGAAAGAAAUGGCUCUGGUUAAUACCUGGGGUCGAUGACGGUACCGGAAGAAUAAGGACCGGCUAACUACGUGCCAGCCGCCGCGGUAA
rnacentral:rRNA from 1 species